rnacentral:rRNA from 1 species
GACGGGGGGGGCAAGUGUUCUUCGGAAUGACUGGGCGUAAAGGGCACGUAGGCGGUGAAUCGGGUUGAAAGUGAAAGUCGCCAAAAAGUGGCGGAAUGCUCUCGAAACCAAUUCACUUGAGUGAGACAGAGGAGAGUGGAAUUUCGUGUGUAGGGGUGAAAUCCGUAAAUAUACGAAGGAACGCCAAAAGCGAAGGCAGCUCUCUGGGUCCCUACCGACGCUGGGGUGCGAAAGCAUGGGAAGCGAACAGG